ACUUUAAUAGUUUAAGAUUAAAACACCGGUCUUGUAAACCGGAAUCGGAAAUUUUCCUUAAAGUG
rnacentral:tRNA from 1 species